GGGUCCGAGACGAGAGGAGUCAGCGCUCAUUAAUGCACUAGUGUGCUCGUUAGCCCCUAACGAGGGUUGUAACCAAUCAGGAGCGCCCUAACUUACCAGGAGUUAUCUUUCAAAAAAUCGAAAUCUUUAAAACUAGACAACAUUUGCCAUCUGAAUGAGAGUGUAUUUGAAAUGCAGAACAGAAUCAUGCAUCUCAGUUUUUCAGGCCAUGAUCAUACACAAACAAAAAAUCCUUCCAUUGGGCCGAGGGUAGGUGGAUGUUUAUUUCCAAUCAACUUCAAACAUUUGAAGGGCUUUCUGUUUGAAUAAAAGUGAUGGCUGCCGUCCAAAUGUAACAAUACGGACACAGCUACACCUGCUGGAUAGAGGUGAGAGGGCCAUGACGUAACAUCCCUGUAGUCAUUGCUUCACCCCCAUAGGAUUAUCUACAGCACCAUAGUAUAUAUAUAUAUAUAUAUAUAUAUACAGCCACAAACAUAUAUACUGUUUGUACACAUACAAACACAUAUGCAUAUAUAAAUAUAUAUCAAAUAUGUCUAUGUGCAUGUUGGACGUGCAUCGGGGGACCAUAGGGGAGACCAUAGAGGUCGUGAAGGUUUACAUGCAGCCUGGUGGACUCCUGCAGGGCCGAGGAGCACAGGAGCGGUGAUAAAGAGAAUGUGUCCUGCUGCUGAUAGGCUGCGGUACGCGACACAGAUGACAUUUGAACACAGGUAGGGGAGGGGAGGCUGCAGCGGACAUCGCAGAGAGAAUAUUAUAACGUACUGCCAGAUGACAUUCAACCUAAGUAUUGCUUAUUUUCCUGUCCCUUCGAUGUUUAAUUGGGCCGCUUCAAGGGCCCGGAUUGACAUUUCUUCCAUAUUCUCUGAACACAUUCUGCUAAAUAAUGUAUUGACCUGUGAGAGCCUGGAAGGAACCCAUUUGCUGGAACAUCUGUCCAAUUAUCUGUCCGUCUGUCUGUCUGUCUGUCUAUCUAUCCAUUCAAAUAUCUAUUUAUAUCAUCACGGAUCCACAGAUCCAGAGUCACAACUCAUAUUCACUAUACAACUCUCACUAGGCUAAAAAUAUAUAUAUGCUGCACCCAAUGUUUAGUCACCUCAAGGUCAUACACUCAUGCUAAAAUGUAAUCGUAUUAUUUGAACAGACCUUUGUAUGGCAAGAUUGACAGUAAGUAAACGAAUUAGGGUUGAAUUUAAAUUAAUCAUAUCUGACAGGCUAGACAAUAAUCUUAAUUGUAAACACAAAUAAUAUAAACCGGUUCAAACUGGAUCGGAAACACCUGAUGUUUAUGACAAAAAAGCUAUAAAGCUGUAUGCAUACUUGUUAUUACCCAUAAUGCCUCGGUCAGAUGUCCAGACUGUUGCUCAACCUGAAGUAUUCAGGUAGCUAAUAAACAACGUAAUUUAGAAUUGUAUGACGAGGUUCUUCUUAUACACUACAUUUAUUAUAUCUGUUGAAAUGAUAUGAAGCAGGUGGCUUUACGCUACAGGGGUAUUUUGAGAUCUGGGAAAGAUAUUUUUGGCAUGUUGAAGGGCUUUCAGGCGCGAUAAUGCAUCCAAUUUAUAGGAUGCCACAAUCAGCACAGCCUCUCCCAGCAGGGUGGAGGAGAAAGUGGAGGGGAGAGUGCAUGGGAGAGGGGCGGAGGGGAAACUGGGAGAGGGGGAGAGGGGGAGAGGGGGAGGGGAGUGGGAGGGUUGGGGGACGGUAGCUAAGGAGAGAAGAGGAGGAACCCAUCCACAUCCAGACACUGACAGACAGACAAGUUCAUCCACAAAAACAACAGGACUGGCUGGUAACGGGAGGUAAGCAUACGAGUGAAACACAUAGGAAAGAGAGAGAACAAUUAUGGCUUACUAACUCAUGUUACAUCAGAUUUGAUUAAUACAAUUUAAAUCAUGAAUUCAAUCAGUUUGUGCGUGGAAGUGGAUCACACCUCACAGCAGCGUUCCAUGUUUUAGAAUCAGAAUCUGAUUCACAUGGGAGUAUAGUAGAGAUGAGGGCAUCCAGAUUGAACUCUAUUCCCUAACAACAGACACACAGAGGACACGCUCUGCUGAAGCACGGGUGCUGGAAUACAUUAGGCAGCCCAGAACAAACUCCCAGUAGACGCCGGACAUCAACGUGAAGGGUGGGAACACAGAGUGCAUGCUUGGAGCGCCUUCCCAUUCCACCUCAACUGGAAAGACGGUGUUUCGUUGGUGUCGAGGAAUUAAAAGGAUUUAAGAAGAUGCUAACAAGAUUAAGCCUACUCAGGAUCAGCGAUUAUUCGGUUUAUUUGUGUGGAACAGCCUACCGGAGGAUCUCCUUGACGGUGCCCUUCAGAAGGGGCGCCCCCUGCAGGGCCUUCCCGGGAUCUCCCCCUGCCACGGCCCAGGACUCUCUCACCUGCUGCCUCACCGCCUCCUGCACCUUGGGGUUACGGCCCAGCUCGAACAGACCAAACUGCAGGGGCACCGCGGUCUGAGAGACAGGAGAGGGUACAACACUGUUAGGGCUGAGCUAACCUCUGUGAGGAAAGAAGAGGAAAGAGAUGUGGUCCCAUGCAGUGGCGUGCUGUGUCCACAAGGGGGCGCCAAUGCGAGAUAGAAGCCGAGGGGGCAGAUACAGGAGCGGCGGCGUGGUGGACAGCAUUCUCUCCACGGCCCAGAUGAACCUCUGGGACUCCUGGGACGGCGAGGAGGAGAACAGGCCUAUGCGCUCCCCGUAGAUCACAUGACAGCUGGCUACAGCAGGUUGAAGCGGCCCUCCUUCCAGAAGCGCAGCAGGUUCAGCCAGCCGCUCCUCCCCGUGUGAGGGAUCUCCUUGAAGGCUCGCACCCCUGCGCUCUUCUUCCCUCCCGUCUGCUCCAUGCUCCGGCUCCUCCUGCCCUCCGCCCGUCCCACUCCCACCACCACCGUCGCCGCCAUCCUGGUCCUCCCAGUCACGGCCGCAGCCGUCGGGGUACAGAGUGCUCUACGGCAGGCCGGGCCCCCCAGACGCCCGCUGGAAGCCCACCUCCCUCGCAGCCGGCCGCACGCAGCCAGGUGGAAGGACAUGGUCAGCCUGGUUCCACCCAACAGGCGUCCUCCAGGGCCGAUCCCGUCCUGAUAGUGCGGCUGAUUUAUGGAUCUGAUGGGGAAGGUUCAAGGGAACAACAACACAGCCCGAAAGGAGCAUAGUCGGUGAUGACGUACAGACUCACACACACACACACAGGCACACAC